CCCAGGCCGUUGGCCUGGGCUGUGUUAGGCCGCCCCGUUGGGGCU
rnacentral:sRNA from 1 species